AUGACUUUUGUAUUGCCCAUCCAACGUAAAACACCCCUUUAAGCUCCCUCUCAUGCUUUUACAUGGUCACUGCGAUAGAAAUCGUUCCUCAAUCCGUACGAUAGCCUUAAUACCCAGUUCUUCUUCGGAUCAAAAAAUGGCUACAACAACAACGACAUUGCUCUGUUCUCUCUGCACAAUGCACAGCCCACAAACGACGUAAAUUUGUCCUGCCUCUGAUUGCAAGAUGUAGCCGCGCGCGUAGGACUCAAGUUUACGUCAUCCCAAUGUUUCUUACAGAUAUAAAGAAGGAGGCUCAAUAGUUCAUUUCUAUUCAGCAUGCAGGAUAUAAAGGAGGCUCAAGAGUUGAUUCUUAAAUUCUAAAUGAAAAAGGAUUUGUUUUACUAUAAAAUGAUUUGUUUUGUAGUGAUUCAAUUUCCAUGUCUUAACAACGAUCAAUUACAAUUAUAAAGAAUUUUACAAUAAAUACACUA